AAAAUUCAGAUUUUGUCCAUUUUAGAACAUUAUUUGGAGUUUUAUUUGAACGACGCUAAUUUUAAAUCAGCCAGUAAAGUGAUUGAAACAACCAGAAACGCAAUGGGGUUAUAAACGCGUUAACAAAUAAUCCUAUAAAACAAAUAUUAUUUUCGUAUUUUAAUACAUUUGCAACAAUCUUCAAUUUAAACCUUCAUAGAAGAGAAAUUAUUAUUCAGAAAAACGCUACUUUGAUAUUGAUAAUCAUGAGCAUGUUAUUUGCUUCAACAAGGACACAAUUCGAAAAGCAUCAGAUAUUUGUGUCUCCACUUGAAAUCUAAUCAAAAGAUAGGGGGGUGAUUAAACGAUUUGCAAAAUCGAUCUAGUCAUAGUGUGAUAAAGCAUUUUAGCUUAAACACAAAGAUACUUAAACAUCAUGAAAGCAGCAAUUUUGCUGAUAAGUUUGGCACUUACCUUAGCUAGUGCCCUUCUUACGGACCAGGAAGAAUGGGCGAACUUUAAGACUCUUCACAAAAAAAUAUAUCAAUCAGCUGAAGCAGAAGCGCAGCGCUUUGAGGUAUUCAAGAACAACUUGGAGAUGAUACGUAAACAUAAUUUGGAGUUUGAGCAAGGGAAAACCAGCUGGAAGAUGGGGGUUAAUCAGUUUUCCGACUUGACCGAAGAGGAGUUUAAAAAUAAUGUUAAAGGAAUUUUGCCACCAAAAAACAAUAAGCAGUAAUAACUGAAUAAAGUAGCAAAAUCAAGUUGACUGAAA
rnacentral:lncRNA from 1 species